AUAAUCCGUUCUCGUGGCGAUAGUGUUGGAAGAGGUUCAUUUGACUCUACAGUGGAUUCAGGGUGGAGUGGUGGAGGACCGAUAAUUCCGAUUCUUGAAUACGAUAGUUUGAAAGUUUCAUGCUGUGUCUUAGGGGAGAGUAUAUAGGUAGUGUUGGCUGAGAAGAUACGUUGAGGUUGGUACGUAAAAAAAUAUUAGACUGCGUGUGUAACUUUUUUUUAAAUUGCUUAGAGUAUGUUUAACAUCACUGCCUUUGUGUAAUAACAGGUGUAAACUAGUGUUUUAUGAACGAAAUGAGUUUCGUAACAGCAAUGAUGACUGCAGCUUCUCAAAACUCUUGUAGGUCUAUUCACGACGGGGCAUAAAUGUACAUUCAGAGCAAGGUGUUUGUAGCAUUUCUAUUCUACCUUAGUAUCCCUCAUUCUCGGAGCGGUAGCGAAGGUGUAUUGUUUGGGUUUGUGUGGAUAACGGGCGAUUAUAGAAAAUGACGAAAUACAGAAUCAGAUUUUACAGUUGUUAUAGUUUUACAUGAAUACAUUCGAUAGAAUAAUAUUUUGUAAACAUGGUGUUUAUGAUGGAGGUUAUGAAGAAUGAUGACAGGAAGGAAUGUAUUUAUACAUGAAUACAUUCGGUAGAAUAAUAUUUGUAAACAGUAUUGGUGUUUAUGAUGCAGAUCAUGAGGAAUGAUGACAGGAAGGGAUACAUUUAUAAAGCUAAGUGGAAUGCCGUCAGACCCACAAGUUACUGUUAUUCAUUUGCGUUAGUGAUUUAUAUGGUUUGCCAAUCUGUGGGCUCAGGUCGGGACACGUAGCAUGGAUUCAUAUUGUUAUGUGUCGGUUCGAUGUAUAAAUCUACAGAGUAUCGCUGCAUAAACUGGCAAACUGUGUCGUGCUCUUCUUAUCUUUGCCUACAUGUGGCUUGGUAGUAGUUUAUUAGGAAUCGAUGUUCUUGUAUUCCGCAUGGCUUUUGUUUCCUCUAUUUUCUAAUAUUUCAUUGUAUUCAGAUUUGGAACCGUAUCAAGCUUCGGACUUGGGUUGUACUGAGUUACUAUAUUAUGCAAUACUGUUACAAGCAGUGCUUCUGUUUUUGUUGAGUAUAGCCUUUAAAAUUGCUCGAUAUUUAUGCUUAAGUUUCACUCAACAGAACUGUAGUUAUAGCAAGGAGAUUUAAAUAGCUAUUAUAUUUCCAUGAGUUACAGGGUAGCACUGCGCAGUUUGUCGGGUUUGGCAACAUCGCAAGGAGCUGAGAAAGCAAGAACCCGACAGUUCGGGAGUCAGUCAGCUGAAGACGGGUUGGUUGUGGGGUUGUAUCGUUAUGGCAUAUCCUGAAGUUGGUCUGCGCUGCUACGAGAUUCCUGAAGGUGUAGCUGAAGGAAGGGGAGAGAGUGGAGGUUGCCCGGUGCCGGUCUGUAGUGUUGUGGAAAGGUUUGUUCACAUUCUCGCCUCCAAUCGUUUGCUCCGUGCCUGCACCUUGAACUAUUUCAGAUCGUGCUACAUACCCAGAUGUUUGAAUUCUUGAGAAAUGGUCCUCCCUCCACUUUUGGGCUCUGUGCUUGCGAAGAGGUGGAAAGCGACGGAAGUUCAGAAUCUACUUUGGCAGUGGCUGUUGCGAGUGAGAAAUGCUUUUGUAGUCAGUCCAAGCAUCCAUGAUUUGAAUGUCCUGCUCGUGACGCAAUCUGCAGGAGAAUCACCUUCUGCCUCACAACGCUUUCAUGUUAUAUUAAUACAUCCAAGGAGGGAGGAGAGAGACCUGCCUCACUUCUUUCCUGUCAAGACCUGCUGCCAUACUGUUAAUGUUAUCUUCCUCCUUAUUCUAUCUCUGACAGUGUGUGUGCUGCCAGACAUCCAAAAGCCUGCAAGAAAAAGAAAAAUCAACAAAUGCCUCAGAAGGAGUUGGAAGUGCAAAGGAGGAAAGUAACAAGAUGGAAGAGUGAUUCAAGAAAGGAAACACUUGGAAGUGCAAAGGAGGAAAGGAACAAGAUGGAAGAAAGGAAACAGAGGUCCUUUGUGUCUUGGACUUUUGGUGAUCACAUUAAGGGAAAGGAAGUCGUGUGUGAUGUAGUGAUGCCAGUUGCUCAUCAAGGCUGUGUUAACAUGUCAAGGAAUUUGGGUACCAUAACUGAAGUGAAAGAGCAGGUGAUGGGUGAUGUUGAGGCAGAGUAGAGUAAUUUUAAGAAAGUUGUAGUGGAGAGUGUAGAGGUGGUUGGUAUGAGAAGUGUGAGGUGGAAUGAGAUAGGGAAGUGAAUGAUGGUGUGAAGAGGUUAAGGUGGCUAUAGAGGGAAAAAGGAAAGCAUUUGAGAUAUGGUUACAAAAGGAUGAAUGUUAUACGAGGUAAAAAGAAGGCACAAGGCAAGUGAAAAGAGCUGUGUGAUGCUAAAGGGAGGGCUGAUGGAAGAUGGGGGGGGGAUGGGGGUGGAAAUUCACGAGAAUUAGAAAAUUUGAAAAGAGGUGAAGAAAGUUAGGAAAGGACCAUCUGGCAGUGAGGAACAGGUGAAAGCAGAGGACGAUGAGAUGUUGGUUAAGCAGGAUGAGGUGGAAAGGUGUGGAGAGUAUUUUGGGUAAGAAACUGGUGAAUAUGGAGUAGGAGGGAGAGCUUGAGAUUGUGACACUUGAGAGAGAGACUAGAAUUAAUUGUACUAGGGGAGUUGAAAAAGGUGACACUUGGGAAAGAGACUUGAAUUAAUGUACUAGGUGAGUUAAAAAAAAAAAAAAAAAGCUAAGUAUAAUGGAGAUGCAGACAGCAGUCAAGAAGAUGCAAGUGGAAAAGCACCAGGUCUGGAUGGAGGUGCAGUGGAGUGUUUGAAGGCAGGUGGGGUCAGUGUCAUUCACAGAGUGGUUUAGAUUGUUAAAUGUGUGCUUUCAGGCCAGUACAGUACUAUUAGAGUGGGCAACUGCAUGUAUAGUACCACUGUAUAAAGGAAAAGAGGAUAGUCUAUUGAGUGUAGGAGGUAGUGUAUGGUAAGGUAUUAAUGUAGAGAAUCACAGAAGGUACAAAUGGAAUAACUUGUGAUGCACAAGGAGGCUUUAGGAGGCUUUAGGAGAGGGAAAUGUUGUAUAGAUAAUGUGUUUGCUGUAAGACAGAUUCGUAAAAAGUAUAUAGCAAAAGGAAGAGAAGUAUUUUGAGGUUUUAUGGAUUUAGAGAAGGCAUAGGACAGAACUGAUAGGGAAGGAAUGUGGGGAAGUCUUGGAAGUUGGAUGGUGUUUCUGAUAGGUUUUGAAUAGAUAGAGCAGAUGGCAGUGGUGCCAUGAGGUUAUUGAAAUAGAGGAGGGAAAGAUGAAGAAGCAAAGUUAUUAGAGAUAUUUUUGGUUAGGUGCAAGAUAUCACGAGGGAAGUUAGAUCUACAAAGAUUCUGACAUUUUCUAUUGAUAAAGGAGUUUUUGGCUAGUUGGUGGAAAGACUGCACGAUUCCAGGCAGAAAUAAGGUGAUGGAAGGCUCAAGUACCUUUUGUGGGCCACCUCUCUCUAUCAUGUACAGAGAGGCUGUGUUAAACUAAGGUUUGGAACCCUUAGGGUGAGAAGAGUGAGGAAUGUAUGCCUCCAUGCCAGGCAUUAUCACCUCUGAUAUACACUUAAGAAGACAUAGAUAGGUCUCUGACAUGGCAGUAGUAGUCAUUCCAAGGAAAAUCAAAAUAAUACUUCCUUGGAUCCCCAAUUAGCAGAAGCAAAAUACCAGAGGCACCUCCACUCUGGAGGAUCCUGAGAAGGAAUAAAAGCAACAGGACAAGAUACAAAUAUGAGGGUGUGAUCAGAGGAGCCCAACAGCAUAAGCAGAAAGUAACAGCAUAAGCAGAAGGAUUUGAAGUUAGGAAAGCAAAGAAUGUUGGGCAAUAAAAUUACUUAACAUCUACCUUAUAAGACAUACACAAAAUACAAAUUCAACACCACCUCUCCUAUCAAAUUUAUCUUGAAAUACACACACGUACACACACCCUCUCAAGACAACCCCUUGGCAGUGACUUGCUGGGCUGGACAGGCUAUCAUUGUUCAUUACCAAGGAAAUCAAAGAUUCUGGGUUCCUUGGUCUCUCAUCAUUUCCUCUCUUCCUCCUCUUCUGUAUGUUUCCUUAUCAUUAUUACCUUAAAACCCAAUGUUUACACCUGCACUUGUCCUAAUCAACUUUACCCUGAGAUAAACUUACUUGGGGCAGUACACACACACACACACACACACACACACACACACACACACACACACACACACACACACACACACACACACACACACACACACACA